rnacentral:rRNA from 1 species
UACGUAGGGGGCUAGCGUUGUCUGGAAUCAUUGGGCGUAAAGCGCGCGUAGGCGGCCAGAUAAGUCCGGUGUGAAAGUCACAGGCUCAACCUGUGAAUGCCGCUGGAAACUGUCUGGCUUGAGUCCGGAAGGGGCGAGUGGAAUUCCUGGUGUAGCGGUGAAAUGCGCAGAUAUCAGGAAGAACACCCGUGGCGAAGGCGGCUCUCUGGGACGGUACUGACGCUGAGACGCGAAAGCGUGGGGAGCGAACAGG